ensembl:lncRNA
CGCAGAUCAGGAAAGAUAAAAGACAAAGUGGAGGCGGAAAAUAAACGGAGCAAAGACAUGAGACGCUCAGCCGACUUUCAUGUAAUCUACUCCUGCACGGGCAGAAUGGAAGAGAAGCGGAGAAAGGCCGGGGGGAUGACGAGCUGUUUUUGUGCGAGGCAUCGGCCUUGAAGGCGUUUGUGUGGAAAUAAAAGCGCGGGCCGCUUUCGGGCUGAGGACUGAGACGGGACACAGGAGCCGUGUGUUCAGCCGCUGAAUGCGUCUCCUCGGGGAGUCGCGUCUGCUCCCGCUCCUUUCACGUUUAUCAAGGUCAAAUCUCAGGCGUCUCGUACUUUGAUGGCUGCCGAUGAGCCCGUGGGCAAGGCACUCAUUGUGUGGCUGUGAAAGGACGUGAGAUCGGACCCAGACUGGACACUUGAAACGCUUUAAAGCACAUGACCGCCUGCAGCUACACGAGAGAGACGACCUCUUCUCUUCAGCACAAAGGAAUCCACCCAAACAUCAUCAUCAUCAUCAUAAACGCUGCUGUGUUGUAUUUACAAUAAUGCUCCGCAUUGAGCUGCUCCUCCUCCGUCCUCUGCAGCCUCUGCACAGCGUUCCUGCUACCCGGGCUGAUUAGCGCUGAUUGUGAAUGGAGCCCAAAUGCCCUGUGUGCGUCCAAAUUGCAUAAUUGCACGACUCCUCGUUGGCUCGCUAAUCACAGGGAAGCCCAGAGCAAACACUUCCACCUCAGUGCUUCAGCUACACAACAAUCAGAAGGUCUUGAGUUAAGAGGCCUUUUGAUCCAAAUGAUGUUAUUAAUCAGCACCCAGAGGAGAGGAAACACUGAUGACCUUCAUAAUGAGGGGGCUGGAGUCAGCGUGCCCAAUUCACCGCUCCUCUACCAGGCUGGCGCUUGUUCUUUUCUCUUCACUCCCUCCUUUUUUAAUUCUUAUUUCAUUAUUUUUAUCAUAUUAUUUUCAUUCUUAUUAUCAUUGUUGAUAUUAUGACUUGUGUUCUUCUUUUUCCAUUUUCAUGGGCUGUUACUCUUAUAAGUGGUUCCUACGGUACGUCUCAGAACCUCUGAUCCCAGCAUUUUGUCGGCUAACCUGUUUGAUUGCUCCCUCUGAAUACUGAUAGUGAAUUAACAUGUGGUUCGGUUCCUUUGGCGCUGCUGUUUAUCUGCAACCUUUGUGCUUGUGUCAGUGCUGGAUGAAAGAGAUUUGCAGCCUCGGUGGGACAGCGGGGCCGAAGGAAGGAAAAUCUAAAUGUAGGUGGAAAACUCUGCCUGAAGGCUCGAGGCUUGAAUAGAGGCAUGUCUAAAGCACACACACACACACACACACACACACACACACACACACACACACACACACACACACACACACACACACACACACGUGUUCUGGUGGCGUCCUUUACCACAACACAAGUGUAAUCUGCCACAACAAAAGGAGAUAAUGUGGUCUCCUGAUCCUCCUCUGGCCAGGCUCCUGGUCGCUACACCGUUUCCAUGGAAACAGAGCAGGACCAGGUGACGGAGGCUGGCCACUAAAACAGACCACAGUGACCCGCCCAAAAACAAAACGCCGGGCACGGAGCGAGAUUGGGGUUUGAAACUUGUCCAGGGCGAGAGGACGUGGCGCCGGCGCCGGUGCAGCUCGUCUCAGGCAGGCGGAGGGUCAGCGUCCGACCCCACCAACCCAGCACACAGGAGGGAUGCUGUGGAGAGGCCUGCUGCCACAAACACACUCACACAAGGAAAAGUCGCACGCUGCAGCUGGCGGAGCAGCAGCGUGACCUGAGACACGUUUUAACCACUGCUGAGCAACUGGAAUAAAAUACGCAGCAUUAUAUUUGCUCCGACA